rnacentral:lncRNA from 1 species
CCGGAUUUUCGCGCCUGCUGCCAUCUUGAGGAGGGGGAAGGCCGGAGCAAGAUUCCAGGAGGUUGCCCUGUGUGGUUCCGAGAGGCGAAACACAGGGUCCCCAGUGCAGCUAACUACUCAUUAUCUCCUCUGCCAUUGAGGCAGUCAUGUUGCGAGACCACCCAGUGCUAG